rnacentral:rRNA from 1 species
AGUGAACGCUGGCGGCAGGCCUAAUACAUGCAAGUCGAACGGCAGCACAGCAGAGCUUGCUCUGUGGGCGGCGAGUGGCGGACGGGUGAGGAAUACGUGGGAAUCUGCCCAGUCGGGGGGGAUAACGUAGGGAAACUUACGCUAAUACCGCAUGCGCCCUUUGGGGGAAAGCCGGGGAUCUUCGGACCUGGCGCGAUUGGAUGAGCCCACGUCGGAUUAGCUAGUUGGAGGGGUAAAGGCCCACCAAGGCGAGGAUCCGUAGCUGGUCUGAGAGGAUGAUCAGCCACACUGGAACUGAGACACGGUCCAGACUCCUACGGGAGGCAGCAGUAGGGAAUAUUGGACAAUGGGCGCAAGCCUGAUCCAGCCAUGCCGCGUGAGUGAAGAAGGCCCUCGGGUUGUGAAGCUCUUUUGUUGGGGAAGAAAAGCCUUGGGUUAAUACCCUGAGGUUCUGACGGUACCCAAAGAAUAUGCACCGGCUAGCUUCGUGCCAGCAGCCGCGGUAA